AAGGACAAAAUGAUGGCAUUGUUUCUGAGGAUACAAAAGGGUUUCCCUCAUGUAUGUCUCACCUGGGUCCGGUAUUUGCCAGGAGACCAGAUAUGGAUCAAACGAUGAAUUGAGAUUUAUAUCCAACUUUUUCCUGAAACGGCACCAACUCACCUCAUUAGCAAUCUGCUGGAUUUCUUCAGUGGCAGGUUUGGCCUCAGUCAAGCCUCCAGGUAUCAUUUUGGCUAGUGUCUGCCAGGCAGGGUGCUGGAAGCCAAGUGCUCAGGUAAGUGCGGAGAUAAGUGCUCAGGUAAGUGCGGAGGCAAGUUUUAACAGCAACCCAGCAAACAAGCUCCGCCUAUAGAAUGUGUUCACUUCCACAAAGAGUAAAGAGGCGCGGGAAAAGGAGUUUGCCCGAAGCGAGUUUUCUUGCUUUCUUGGGAGGAUCUGUUGAGUGGAACUGGGAAGGAUGCGGGUGGGGGGACCAGCGUGGGCGAGCCAGCUUGGGAGUCACCCCGCAGCAAGCCUCAGACUUGCCUCCCUGUGUUCUCGGUACCCAUCCUGAUUCCAUCCGGUUGCGCCCUCUGCAAUCCGACAUGCGAAACCAGUCUCCAGAUCUUUUAAAACCUCCAGUGUAAAAUU
rnacentral:lncRNA from 1 species